UACGUAGGCAGCAAGCGUUGUUCGGAGUUACUGGGCGUAAAGGGUGCGUAGGUGGCUCUAUAAGUAUGGUGUGAAAUCUCCCGGCUUAACUGGGAGGGUGCGCCGUAGACUGUGGGGCUAGAGUGUGGGAGAGGAAAGUGGAAUUCCUGGUGUAGCGGUGAAAUGCGUAGAUAUCAGGAGGAACACCUGUGGCGAAAGCGGCUCACUGGACCAUAACUGACGCUGAUGCACGAAAGCUAGGGGAGCAAACAGG
rnacentral:rRNA from 1 species